rnacentral:rRNA from 1 species
UAGGGAAUAUUGUGCAAUGGGGGAAACCCUGACGCAGCAACGCCGCGUGAGUGAUGAAGGCUUUCGGGUCGUAAAGCUCUGUUGCAAGGGAAAAAGAAAGUGAUUGUACCUUGCGAGAAAGGACCGGCAAACUUCGUGCCAGCAGCCGCGGUAAUACGAGGGGUCCUAGCGUUGUUCGGAAUCAUUGGGCGUAAAGAGCUCGUAGGUGGCUUAGUAAGUCGGGUGUGAAAGCCCAGGGCUCAACCCUGGA